rnacentral:rRNA from 1 species
CAGUCUGAGUUGGGCAGUCAUGCCAAAACAAAAAUUCAAUUAAAACUUUCAACAACGGAUCUCUUGGUUCCGGCAUCGAUGAAGAACGCAGCGAAAUGCGAUAAGUAAUGUGAAUUGCAGAAUUCAGUGAAUCAUCGAAUCUUUGAACGCACAUUGCGCCCCCUGGUAUUCCGGGGGGCAUGCCUGUCCGAGCGUCAUUA